rnacentral:lncRNA from 1 species
CUCCUACGUGGCUAGUUUUCAACUACCAUCCAGAAGCCACUGAACAGGGGACUGGGAGGAGGUGUGUUCAGUGGGCUCUUGCGAGUGUGUGCGACCGGUUCUGAGCCUGGGCUGGCUGGCUUCAGCACACCCGUGUGCCCAGUCUCCUUGAAGUCACGCCCUCUGAAAUGCCAUCUUCCCAGCCCCAGUGCCUUUCCUAAACCUUUGGGCAGAAUGAGAACUUUUCAAGUGACCACUUGUCACAAGGUUUGCCAUCCGAUGCUAUUUUUUUGUUAAACCUUUUGAUCCAGAAAACCUAUUCCUGGGAUAAUACUGAAAACAAACGUCUUACUCAUGCAUAGCAGAAGACAUCUAUGAUAAUGUUUAUAGCAUUGUUAUAAUGAAUACUAUGAUGAAUGCUAUAAUGAAAGCCUGGAAGCUGCCUUGAGUCUGUCAUCAUGGGAUUAGAUGAAUAAUCUGUGGAAUAGUCACCCAGUAAUAUUACACAGGAUUAAUGUUAUAGCAAUUGGAUGGACAUUUAGUGCUCUAAUACUAAAG